GCCGGGUGCGGUGGCACGUGCCUGUAGUCCCAGCUAUUCGGGAGGCUGAGGCUGGAGGAUCUCUUGAGUCCAGGAGUUCUGGGCUGUAGUGCACUAUGCCGAUCAGGUGUCCGCACUAAGUUCGGCAUUGAUACGGUGACCUCUGGGAGUGGGGGACCACCAGGUUGCCUAAGGAGGGGUAAACCGGCCCAGGUCGGAAAUGGAGCAGGUCAAAACUCCCCUGCUGAUCAGUAGUGGGAUUGUGCCUCUGAAUAGCCACUGCACUCCAGCCUGGGCAACAUAGGGAGACCCCGUCUCUU
ensembl:misc_RNA Metazoa_SRP Metazoan signal recognition particle RNA